GAGCAGUGCCCUGAUUGCAGAGGGCUGCUGGCUGAGCAGGAGAAGCAGCCCACACACAGAUCUUGGUGGCAGAGGGAAACCAGGCACUAAAUCGAGAGGGACAGCCAAGAAUAGGGAUGACUUUGGCUGACCACCCAGCUACACGGAAGGAAUAUGGCAGAUGGGAAUAUCACCAAAGCAGAGCAGGUAGAACUAAAAAGACACAGAAGAUUUGGUGACCUGAGAGUUCGAGAAGGAUUUACUCUUCAGCAAGCUCGCUGUUUUGGAUCUGUACAACUGAAGGUCUUCAGGGUUUUCCCCUCCUGCCCAGCAGCAGCAGCGGCCUGACUCCAGCUCUGCCCUUCAGAUUCCCGGGACAAGGAUGGAGGAGCCCUGCAAACCCCUCCGCUCCCGACAGCGCCUUUUUGCUACCACCUAGUGGGCAUGGAGAGGUGUGAGAACACGGACUCGUGCAGAGGUGCAUGUCACCAACAGGGAAAGAACGUGGAGAACUGCGUGCAGACAUUCCCCCGAUUUCGAUUUGCUGUUCCAGGGCCCUGAGCCUGCAUGAAGAGACACAGUCAUCAUGAAGCACCUAAGCACUGCCAGGUGGAGGUGGCCUCGGAAGCCUUAUGGCCCUGCUAAAUGCUGAGGAGGGGACGGGAGGAGCAAGGCUGUGGCCAGGGAAUGUGGAUUUCAUUUUUCUUCAGUCAGCCAAGACUGGAGAACCAGAAAACACAGGACAACAGGAAAAGGAAUCAAUUCACUUGUGAAGCAAGGCUGAGAUGGCAACUAAAACCAGACCCAAACCGGGAGACCGGGCACAGGUUCAUUUAGCUGUAAAUCCUACAGGUAGUGAUGCACAGUAAAUACAACUUUAGUACAGAGGCCAUUCUGUUCAAUCUCCUAAGAAUUUUUCCCAGAAAUAGACACAGACACAGAACUGAGCCAGCCAUAUGAGAGCAUUGAGCCUGU